CCCAGCAGAUAUACCACCCUGCAACCCACUGAAGCUAAGCAGGUGUGAGUCUGGCCAGUACCUGGAUGGAAGACCUCCUGGGAAAGCUAAGGUUGCUGCUGGAA
rnacentral:rRNA from 1 species